rnacentral:rRNA from 1 species
UACGUAGGGGGCAAGCGUUGUCCGGAAUCAUUGGGCGUAAAGCGCGUGUAGGCGGUCCGGUAAGUCCGCUGUGAAAGUCCAGGGCUCAACCCUGGGAUGCCGGUGGAUACUGUCGGGCUAGAGUACGGAAGAGGCGAGUGGAAUUCCCGGUGUAGCGGUGAAAUGCGCAGAUAUCGGGAGGAACACCAAUUGCGAAGGCAGCUCGCUGGGACGUUACUGACGCUGAGACGCGAAAGCGUGGGGAGCAAACAGG